CGUAAGUAGUUUACCCUUACAAGAAAGCUAUUUCAUGCUUCUGCCUGGAAGUGGCCACGUGUAUCAUAAUCUAUAUUCUUUUUUUACUACCCAUCGCCGCCGCAAGCGAUGGCGGACUCCGGCGGCGACCUCCGGCGGCGACCUCGCCGGCAUCAUUUGUUCGAUCUCCUAUGAGCCCCUCAACCUCAUCAGCGAGGAUCUUCAAUCGGUCUCCAUCUGCGUCCACGUUUUUCACGAGCUCUGUCUGCGGCAAUGGUUGGAGUACUCUUAGAAAGGGAAGAAGCACACUUGCCCCAUUUGCAAGCAGGGUUGCAGGGCCAGCGACGCUUGCUGGCUCUAUUUUCAGUCAGUGGGAGAUGCGAACGAUAGUGUGAAGCCUCAGAAGAGCUUUGAAUUGGAGGAAGAUGCUGGGCUUCCUGCGUAGGGAGGUGAAUGUUUCGGGGCUUAAUUCUCAGGUUGAAGGGCAAACAAAGGAAUUGGAAGGACUUAAUGAGAAGCUUUGUACUUGCAAGGAGCAGGCAAAGAUAGAGACAGCUUUAAAGAAUGAGGUUUUAAAUAAAAAAGCAUCAAUUCCAGCUUCAAAUGAAAUCAGAGGUGAAAUACUCUGUAGCCUUCUGUUUUAUUUGAGACAAGUUAACUAUUUACAGCCUGAAUUAACUUGUAAAGAUUUAUAUUGAAUUAGGAGCUUGAGAAGUCAACUUUGGAGUGUUUUAGAUUAAAAGAAAGUAAUAUGGCUUUGACUAAAGAACUUGCAGCUUUAAAAUUAUGAGUGGAGCUUCAUUUUGAAUUUUGAUCGAGUAACCAUAUUUUGUUUAUGAUAUAAUUUUUGUUUAUUUUUUUACUUCUUGCUAUGUUGGUUUAUGGCCUGCACCGUAGAGUAUAUCUGAUCUGGACAUUGAUGAAGAGGAGGUUUUGAAGCUUGCCGCUUUGGGUAAGGGGCCAACAGUAAAGACACAGUAGAUAUAUUGAAAAGAUCUCUGGUGGUCAUGCGGAACAGGAGUUAUAAACAAUUGAUGGCCAAGUGCAAUAUUCUUGGAAGAGGUGAGGCUUGGUAUAGCAAAAAGCUUUAGAAGGCUAAAGAGAAGAUCACUAAACUGAAGGAGAGGGUACAAGAACUGGAGACAUUAACUGAAGCAAAAGAGAACGAAUAUCUGAGGUCUGUGAAACUUUCUAAAAUAACAAAGACUUCAAAGAAUCUCGAAGAAAGCAUCAAAUCUGAUUCUGAUACAUUGACAGCUUGCAAACUUUCAUCAAAAGAACAAAGCAACCGAAUUUUGACACCCAAAUCUGGAAUUGACCUGACUGCAAACGACAACAGUAAAUAUUUUCAAUCUUUGAAGAUAUAGAACUCCAAUGUUACUAAAAAUAAGGCUGUGAAUGUUAGUAAUGGAAGUAAAACUACCUUUUCUCUUGAUAUAAAAAGAGAGUAUAUCUCAAUUGAUGAGGAUGAUCCAGAAGGCACUAAUGCUUUGCAAGGAUGUUCAAAACACAACUACAAAGAUCAAGACAGGGAUGAUAUUGCUUUUAGCAAGCCUUCUCUAGUGAAGCUAGAGCCUGUGUCUGGCAUAAAGACUGAAAAAUCAUUGCAAGGAAAAUGUACUUUGGCUGCGUCUCCCAGAGUUGAUAUUGACAUUGGCAUUGACAUGGCUAACAUUUCAGCUGGUGCUAUGGAUGAAGAUGUAACUUUACAAACCAACAUUAAACAACCCGUGGUGAACAUUACAAAGGAGUUACCAUUAACACUUUCAAAUUCAGUGGAUUGCUUGGUCCUGAUGGAACUCAUCGAUACUAGGGUAAAUGGUGCAAACAUUAAGAGAACAGUGAACCAUCAUCUACAAAACAAUCAAGUAAUGGGGAUUUAAUUGCUAUUGGGGCUGAUGGUAGAGGUGGAAGAGUAAAAGUUUUAAGGAUUCCUAGCCAAAUCCUCUCUGUGAGUUCUGUAGUGUUUAAUUUUGAUGGAAUGGUGAUAAGAAAAAUUCACUAAGUUCAAAAAGGUCAAAGUGGUUUGAAAUCCUAGUUGCAAAGAGUAAAGGAAUGCAGAUAGAACAUUUUUUGGGGAGAGUCACUCAGUAAUAUAUUGGUCUGUAUGGGCCUGGUUGUGAUAUCCUUGUUGCAAAGAGGAAAGGAAUGCAUCCUUUGUCACAGAAGAGAAACAAUGGUAGAUUAAAUAAAUUUAUUUUUUGGAAAAGUUUUCAUCACUUUGAAUAAUGAUCUUUGGGGAUUUUAGCUAAACGUGUACGAAAAUCUAGUAAUUGAUUGAUUGCUUGGCUUCAGCAUCUAUUCAAAUGGCAAAGUUGUCCGUUCCUUUCACUUUGCUCCAUUCAGGUCUAUCUUUAACCAAAUUCUGCCCACGUUUGAAACAAUGCAAUUUUAAUGAGCUCAGAUCUGCUUAAAGAAGAUAUCUUUAUGUUUUGAAAUUUGAAGA